GACGAACGCUGGCGGCGUGCUUAACACAUGCGAGUCGAACGGUGAAGCUCCAGCUUGCUGGAGUGGAUCAGUGGCGAACGGGUGAGUAACACGUGAGCAACCUGCCCCUGACUCUGGAAUAAGCGCUGGAAACGGCGUCUAAUACUGGAUACGAGAAGGGUCCGCAUGGGCACUUUCUGGAAAGUUUUUCGGUUGGGGAGGGGCUCGCGGCCUAUCAGCUUGUUGGUGAGGUAAUGGCUCACCACGGCGACGACGGGUAGCCGGCCUGAGAGGGCGACCGGCCACACUGGGACUGAGACACGGCCCAGACUCCUACGGGAGGCGGCAGUGGGGAAUAUUGCACAAUGGGCGAAAGCCUGAUGCAGCGACGCCGCGUGAGGGAUGACGGCCUUCGGGUUGUAAACCUCUUUCAGCAGGGAAGAAGCGAAAGUGACGGUACCUGCAGAAGAAGCACCGGCUAACUACGUG
rnacentral:rRNA from 1 species